rnacentral:lncRNA from 1 species
UAAACCCUCCCAAUUCUCUCAUACACGCUGUCCUCAAACCCGCUUCUCUCUCAAACGCUCUCAAAGCCUAAACGUCGCCUACGGCUUUUCGACCUCAAAACCUCCAAAAUCCAUGGUUGCUCUAGCCACAGACGACCUAUACUCACCUCAUACUGCCCUCAAAUCCCUGCUUCCUGAAGAUUCGAGGCCAGUCUUUGAGAGCCUUCGUCCAGACCUUCGUCGAUCCAAGGUUUUCAGCCAUUUUCGGCCAUGCUCCGGCGUAUCUUAGCCUCUUGAGCCUGGUUCCGACCUUAUCGACUCAGAUCUGAUCUUGCAUCUUCCAAGCCUUUUUCGUCCUUUAGGGUUCUUAGAAAUCCUAGCCUAUUCAAGGUUCUUUUUCAUUUUAUUCGUUUAGAUCUGUGCUAGAUCUAUGGUGUGCGUGAUGUUUAAAGCAUUUUCCCCAAAUUUCCCUUUUCAAAACCCUUUGAUUUUAAACUAAGUUUUCUGAGUUUAUCUUGUAAAUGUUUGUUCGAUUCAUCUGCCUAUCUUCUCUAGGUUUAAUUGGUGAUUCAAAACCCCAAUUUUCUCAGAUUUUUUUGUGUUCCUAGGUCUACACGUUAGUAUUGUUUUAUUUACUGCUUAGUGGUGAAAACCCUAACUUUUGGGGUUUAUUUGAGACUCUGAGAUUGUUUAUGUGUUUAUCUGCUUAUCUUCUCUAAACCUGACUAAUUUUGAAAACCCUAGUUCUUUGGGGUCUAUUUGAG